rnacentral:rRNA from 1 species
UACGAAGGGGGGCUAGCGUUGUUCGGAAUUACUGGGCGUAAAGGGCGCGUAGGCGGCCCGCUAAGUCGAACGUGAAAUCCCCGAGCUCAACUCGGGAACUGCGUCCGAUACUGGCGGGCUUGAAUCCGGGAGAGGGAUGCGGAAUUCCAGGUGUAGCGGUGAAAUGCGUAGAUAUUUGGAGGAACACCGGUGGCGAAGGCGGCAUCCUGGACCGGCAUUGACGCUGAGGAGCGAAAGUGUGGGGAGCGAACAGG